rnacentral:rRNA from 1 species
UACGGGGGGGGCAAGCGUUGUUCGGAAUUACUGGGCGUAAAGGGCUCGUAGGCGGCCAACUAAGUCAGACGUGAAAUCCCCAGGCUCAACCUGGGAACUGCGUCUGAUACUGGAUGGCUUGAAUUCGGGAGAGGGAUGCAGAAUUCCAGGUGUAGCGGUGAAAUGCGUAGAGAUCCGGAAGAACACCGGUGGCGAAGGCGGCCUGCUGGGCAGUAGCUGACGCUGAGGCGCGACAGCGUGGGGAGCAAACAGG